UGCAGCAGAGCCAUGGCGAACGCACGACGGGUCGGACGGCCGGGAGAGCGAGUGGAGGCGGCGAGCGGCGGCUCCGCGCUGAAGGUCUGCUUAGAUUAUUACUGCAAAGCGUGCAUUCCUCUUCAGUGGUUCAAGAGGUCCUUCAAAAGGGCAUCCAGUUCAUUCUCAUCAAUGUAACCACUUCCAUCCUGAGAAGCAUAAAUAGAGGAGAUGGAGAUCGAUACGGAACAGCAGCCUGACAUGCUUGGCUUUUCUCUGAUCUAGUUUCCUAAAGUUGACCAAUGUCUCAACCUUCCCAGUACAGGUUGAGUUUCCAUUAUUAUUCAUUUUAUCCUCCAGUCGGCAAAGCUGAAGAGGAACAGAUUACCCUGGACAGCAAAACAGCUACUUGCCAGUUAGAAUUUCUUAUUUUGCUCCGGGCCUUUCCCUCUUUGGACUCCGAUAGGAAGUCGGCUUCUUUUCGUCUCACUGAUUAUCUGCUUACCUUGUCGUAAAACGUGAAGAUGGCAUUGAACUCUUCUGAGGUCAGUUUCAUGCCCUGCCAGCCGCCCAAACAAAUGAGAGAAAUAAAAAGAUGGUUAAAAGA